GAUGAACGCUGGCGGCGUGCCUAAUACAUGCAAGUCGAGCGAACAGACGAGGAGCUUGCUCCUUUGACGUUAGCGGCGGACGGGUGAGUAACACGUGGGUAACCUACCUAUAAGACUGGGAUAACUUCGGGAAACCGGAGCUAAUACCGGAUAAUAUUUCGAACCGCAUGGUUCGAUAGUGAAAGAUGGCUUUGCUAUCACUUAUAGAUGGACCUGCGCCGUAUUAGCUAGUUGGUAAGGUAACGGCUUACCAAGGCAACGAUACGUAGCCGACCUGAGAGGUGGAUCGGCCACACUGGAACUGAGACACGGUCCAGACUCCUACGGAAGGCAGCAGUAGGGAAUCUUCCGCAAUGGGCGAAAGCCUGACGGAGCAACGCGGCGUGAGUGAUGAAGGUCUUCGAAUCGUAAAACUCUGUUAUGAGGGAAGAACAAACGGGUAAGUAACUGUGCACGUCUUGACGGUACCUAAUCAGAAAGCCACGGCUAACUACGU
rnacentral:rRNA from 1 species